UACAGAGGGUGCAAGCGUUGUUCGGAAUUACUGGGCGUAAAGGGCGCGUAGGCGGUUCGCUAAGUUGGAUGUGAAAACUCUGGGCUCAACCCAGAGCCUGCAUCCAAAACUGGCGGGCUAGAGUUCUGGAGGGGGUAGCGGAAUUCCUGGUGUAGCGGUGAAAUGCGUAGAUAUCAGGAGGAACACCGGUGGCGAAGGCGGCUACCUGGACAGAAACUGACGCUGAGGUGCGAAAGCGUGGGGAGCAAACAGG
rnacentral:rRNA from 1 species